rnacentral:rRNA from 1 species
GAUGAACGCUAGCUACAGGCUUAACACAUGCAAGUCGCGGGGCAGCAUGGGGGUUGCUUGCAAUCCCCGAUGGCGACCGGCGCACGGGUGAGUAACGCGUAUCCAACCUGCCCUUCACCACGGGCUAACCCGGCGAAAGUCGGACUAAUGCCGUAUGUUGUCCAUUGACGGCAUCCGAUUUGGACGAAGUGUUUGGCGGUGAAGGAUGGGGAUGCGUCCGAUUAGCUGGACGGCGGGGGGACGGCCCACCGUGGCGCCGGUCGGUAGGGGUUCUGUGAGGAAGGUCCCCCACACUGGAACUGAGACACGGUCCAGACUCCUACGGGAGGCAGCAGUGAGGAAUAUUGGUCAAUGGGCGUAAGCCUGAACCAGCCAAGUAGCGUGCAGGAUGACGGCCCUAUGGGUUGUAAACUGCUUUUAUGCGGGGAUAAAGUGGCCCACGUGUGGGUUUUUGCAGGUACCGAAUGAAUAAGGACCGGCUAAUUCCGUG